rnacentral:rRNA from 1 species
CCUACGGGAGGCAGCAGUGGGGAAUAUUGCACAAUGGGCGCAAGCCUGAUGCAGCCAUGCCGCGUGUAUGAAGAAGGCCUUCGGGUUGUAAAGUACUUUCAGCAGUGAGGAAGGGGUGGUGUUUAAUAGACGCCAUUCUUGACGUUAGCUGCAGAAGAAGCACCGGCUAACUCCGUGCCAGCAGCCGCGGUAAUA